GGUGACCGUGAUUUUGCCAAGUAGGGAGUGUUCCUGGAUUAACAUCUCUUUGUUGAUCCUGGAUCCACAUUUCAAUCAACCAAUCACAGCCCUCUGAUGUCAUCAGUGUGUGCCUACCAAACCAUCACCGAUUGACCACAUGUGGAUUCCCUCCAUUUUCCACCCCAGCAGGCUAAAAGAGUGAUACUUUACAGUCGCAUCACAUAUGAUUUAUUAUGACUGAUCGCACUUUAGAGUCCUUAGUGGGCUGUAUUGGGCCUUACAGUCUUUCAGCUGGCCAUUUAAAAGCACUGUAUGAGCCAGGUUACAUUCCAGAUGUGGU